rnacentral:rRNA from 1 species
AUUGAACGCUGGCGGCAUGCCUUACACAUGCAAGUCGAACGGCAGCACGGACUUCGGUCUGGUGGCGAGUGGCGAACGGGUGAGUAAUAUAUCGGAACAUACCUUGUAGUGGGGGAUAACUAUCCGAAAGGAUAGCUAAUACCGCAUACGCUCUAUGGAGGAAAGCGGGGGAUCGUAAGACCUCGUGCUAUAAGAGUGGCCGAUAUCUGAUUAGCUAGUUGGUGAGGUAAAGGCUCACCAAGGCGACGAUCAGUAGCUGGUCUGAGAGGACGACCAGCCACACUGGAACUGAGACACGGUCCAGACUCCUACGGGAGGCAGCAGUGGGGAAUUUUGGACAAUGGGGGCAACCCUGAUCCAGCAAUGCCGCGUGAGUGAAGAAGGCCUUCGGGUUGUAAAGCUCUUUUGUCAGGGAAGAAACGGUUGUGGCUAAUAUCCAUGGCUAAUGACGGUACCUGAAGAAUAAGCACCGGCUAACUACGUGCCAGCCGCCGCUGAAGAC